CGUUAGUUGGAACCCACACCUAGUGCCCACCGUUUACGGCAUGGACUACCAGGGUAUCUAAUCCUGUUUGCUACCCAUGCUUUCGCUCCUCAGCGUCAGUUUCAGUCCAGAGCGGCGCCUUCGCCACCGGUGUUCCUCCUAAUAUCUGCGCAUUUCACCGCUACACUAGGAAUUCCCCGCUCCCCUCCUGAACUCAAGUCACAGCAGUAUCGGAUGGCCUCUCCGGGUUGAGCCCAAAGUUUUAACACCCGACUUACUAAACCGCCUACGAGCUCUUUACGCCCAAUAAAUCCGGACAACGCUUGGAGCCUACGUGUCACCGCGGCUGCUGGCACGUAGUUGGCCGCUCCUUCUUCUGCAGGUACCGUCAUUUUCGUUCCUGCUGAAAGCGGUUUACAGCCCGAAAGGCUUCAUCCCGCA
rnacentral:rRNA from 1 species